rnacentral:rRNA from 1 species
CCGGACGGGUGAGUAAUGUCUGGGAAACUGCCCGAUGGAGGGGGAUAACUACUGGAAACGGUAGCUAAUACCGCAUAACGUCGCAAGACCAAGAGGGGACCUUCGGGCCUCUUGCCAUCGGAUGUGCCCAGAUGGGAUUAGCUAGUAGGUGGGGUAACGGCUCACCUAGGCGACGAUCCCUAGCUGGUCUGAGAGGAUGACCAGCCACACUGGAACUGAGACACGGUCCAG